UACGGGGGGGUGCAAGCGUUAAUCGGAAUUACUGGGCGUAAAGGGUGCGUAGGUGGUUUAGUAAGUUAGCUGUGAAAUUCCUGGGCUCAACCUAGGGUGGUCAGCUAAGACUGCUAGACUCGAGUAUGGGAGAGGGUAGUGGAAUUUCCGGUGUAGCGGUGAAAUGCGUAGAGAUCGGAAGGAACACCAGUGGCGAAGGCGGCUACCUGGCCUAAUACUGACGCUGAGGCACGAAAGCGUGGGGAGCAAACAGG
rnacentral:rRNA from 1 species